rnacentral:rRNA from 1 species
CGCGAAUGGCUCAUUACAACAGCUAUAAUUCACUUGAUCUUGACACAAUCCUACUUGGAUAACUGUGGUAAUUCUAGAGCUAAUACAUGCAUUAAAGCUCUGACCUCACGGAAAGAGUGCAUUUAUUAGAACAAAACCAAGCGGCUUCGGCUGUUUUCGGUUGACUCAUAGUAACUGAGCUGAUCGCAUGGUCUUGCACCGGCGACGUGUCUUUCAAGUAUCUGCCGUAUCAACUUUCGAUGGUAGUGUAUCUGACUACCAUGGUGAUCACGCGUAACGGAGAAUAAGGGUUCGACUCCGGAGAGUUCGCCUGAGAAAUCGCGAACACAUCUAAGGAAGGCAGCAGGCGCGAAAAUUACCCACUCUCAGCACGAGGAGGUAGUGACGAAAAAUAACGAGACCGUUCUCUUUCGAGGCCGGUCAUCGGAAUGGGUACAAUUUAAACCCUUUAACGAGUAUCUAUGAGAGGGCAAGUCUGGUGCCAGCAGCCGCGGUAAUUCCAGCU